GGACAGCUAGUAAAUUAUAAACAGGCCACAAAACCUUUUUAUUUUAGUCUUGUUUUGGGAUUACUUGGUAUUGUUGCACGGCUAUAAAAGUUGACUGAUAGUUGAUAAAAGGCCGCUUACGAUAGAUAAUUAGUCGGUAUUUAGCUUAAUGAGUUUUGGUAAUUCGGUGAUAGUGGGAAUUUCAAAUAUAAUUGAUGAGUAUUUUUCGAAAUUAAUAAUGCGAAUUUUGAGAUGAUGCGAAGGAUUUUAGAUCGAAUCUUUAAUAUUUAGUCUCAUCGAUUUGAUUCACCAUCAUUUACCCCAGGUUUAGAGUAGAUACAGUAAUGAGUAGGUUCAAUAUUUAAAUAAUAAAUACCUAUUCACCGAUUACAGCAGACGGACUGUAGAGAAAAAACAAACCCUUCCAAUGUUAUCACAGGGAUUUCAGAGAGAUUGCAGUAAACACUAUAAACAAUAAUAUUAUUGGGAGCGUGUACGGCACACCAACAUGAAUAACGUUUGAUACAGAAAGUUGAGAAAGUUGGACAACUGACAUUGCUGCGAUAUUCAUCAUUUCUUUUAUGAUAGCAGGUAUUUGAGGAAAACUAGUGUUUCAAGGAUGAAGAUAUGGUUCCUGUACAUUAUUUUAAUAAGCAUCCAUCUACACCAUUUCAAAAAGUAGUUUUAUUGUCUUACCAGAUUAUAUAGAUCAACAUUGAGAUAUGCCAAAUGGCAAAUUCACAUUCUACAACUUAAACAUAGUAAAUAAAAUAAAAACUUUAAUAA